rnacentral:rRNA from 1 species
CCUACGGGAGGCAGCAGUGAGGAAUAUUGGUCAAUGGGCGCGAGCCUGAACCAGCCAAGUAGCGUGAAGGAUGACUGCCCUACGGGUUGUAAACUUCUUUUAUAAAGGAACAAAGUGAGGCACGUGUGCCUUUUCGUAUGUACCUUAUGAAUAAGGAUCGGCUAACUCCGUGCCAGCAGCCGCGGUAAUAAGGAGGAUCCGAGCGUUAUCCGGAUUUAUUUGGUUUUAAGGGAGCGUAGAUGGGUUGUUAAGUCAGUUGGGAAAGUUUGCGGCUCAACCGUAAGAUUGCAGUUGAUACUGGCAGCCUUGAGUGCGGUUGAGGUAGGCGGAAUUCGUGGUGUAGCGGUGAAAUGCUUAGAUAUCACGAAGAACUCUGAUUGCGAAGGCAGCCUUCUGGACUGCCACUGACGUUGAUGCUCGAAAGUGUGGGUAUCAAACAGGAUUAGAUACCCCAGUAGUC